UGGGGAAUAUUGCACAAUGGGCGCAAGCCUGAUGCAGCCAUGCCGCGUGUGUGAAGAAGGCCUUCGGGUUGUAAAGCACUUUCAGCGAGGAGGAAGGGUAGUGUGUUAAUAGCACAUUGCAUUGACGUUACUCGCAGAAGAAGCACCGGCUAACUCCGUGCCAGCAGCCGCGGUAAUACGGAGGGUGCAAGCGUUAAUCGGAAUUACUGGGCGUAAAGCGCACGCAGGCGGUUUGUUAAGUCAGAUGUGAAAUCCCCGCGCUUAACGUGGGAACUGCAUUUGAAACUGGCAAGCUAGAGUCUUGUAGAGGGGGGUAGAAUUCCAGGUGUAGCGGUGAAAUGCGUAGAGAUCUGGAGGAAUACCGGUGGUGAAGGCGGCCCCCUGGACAAAGACUGACGCUCAGGUGCGAAAGCGUGGGGAGCAAACA
rnacentral:rRNA from 1 species